UACGUAGGGCGCAAGCGUUGUCCGGAAUUAUUGGGCGUAAAGAGCUCGUAGGCGGCUUGUCACGUCGAUUGUGAAAGCCCGAGGCUUAACCUCGGGUCUGCAGUCGAUACGGGCUAGCUAGAGUGUGGUAGGGGAGAUCGGAAUUCCUGGUGUAGCGGUGAAAUGCGUAGAUAUCAGGAGGAACACCGGUGGCGAAGGCGGCUACCUGGACAGAGUCUGACGCUGAGACGCGAAAGCGUGGGGAGCGAACAGG
rnacentral:rRNA from 1 species